CUUCCGUAGGGGAACCUGCGGAAGGAUCAUUACAGUAUUCUUUUUGCCAGCGCUUAAUUGCGCGGCGAAAAAACCUUACACACAGUGUUUUUUGUUAUUACAAGAACUUUUGCUUUGGUCUGGACUAGAAAUAGUUUGGGCCAGAGGUUUACUGAACUAAACUUCAAUAUUUAUAUUGAAUUGUUAUUUAUUUAAUUGUCAAUUUGUUGAUUAAAUUCAAAAAAUCUUCAAAACUUUCAACAACGGAUCUCUUGGUUCUCGCAUCGAUGAAGAACGCAGCGAAAUGCGAUAAGUAAUAUGAAUUGCAGAUUUUCGUGAAUCAUCGAAUCUUUGAACGCACAUUGCGCCCUCUGGUAUUCCAGAGGGCAUGCCUGUUUGAGCGUCAUUUCUCUCUCAAACCUUCGGGUUUGGUAUUGAGUGAUACUCUUAGUUGAACUAGGCGUUUGCUUGAAAUGUAUUGGCAUGAGUGGUACUGGAUAGUGCUAUAUGACUUUCAAUGUAUUAGGUUUAUCCAACUCGUUGAAUAGUUUAAUGGUAUAUUUCUCGGUAUUCUAGGCUCGGCCUUACAAUAUAACAAACAAGUUUGACCUCAAAUCAGGUAGGAUUACCCGCUGAACUUAAGCAUAUCAAUAAGCGGAGGAA
rnacentral:rRNA from 1 species